GUGCUCGCUUUGGCAGCGCAUAUACUAAAAUUGGAACGAUAUAGAGCAGAUUAGCAAGGCCUCUGCACAAGGAUGACACAGAAAUUCGUGAAGCGUUCCAUAUUUUU
rnacentral:snRNA from 1 species